rnacentral:ncRNA from 2 species
CAUCCCCUUAGCCUCCGAGCCCGGAUAGACCCCAUGGGCCUUCCGGGCCGGGCUUAUGGCCCCGGGGUGGUGGGGGCAACCCCGCCGCCUGCCGCGGUUGCAAAGGAGGUAAGGGUGAACAAAA